rnacentral:rRNA from 2 species
GACGAACCGUGCGAACGUUAUUCGGAAUCAUUGGGCUUAAAGGGCGCGUAGGCGGCGGUGUAAGUUGGAAGUGAAAUCCCAUCGGCUCAACCGUGGAAUUGCUCCCAGUACUGCAUCGCUCGAGGGGGAUAGGGGUUUGCGGAACUACCGGUGGAGCGGUGAAAUGUGUUGAUAUCGGUGGGAACGCCAGUGGCGAAAGCGGCAAACUUGACCCUUCCUGACGCUGAGGCGCGAAAGCUAGGGGAGCAAACGGG